rnacentral:rRNA from 1 species
AAGGGUGCGUAGGCGGCCUGUUAAGUCAGGGGUGAAAGACGGUAGCUCAACUAUCGCAGUGCCCUUGAUACUGAUGGGCGUUGAAUUGACUAGAGGUAGGCGGAAUGUGACAAGUAGCGGUGAAAUGCAUAGAUAUGUCACAGAACACCGAUUGCGAAGGCAGCUUACUAUGGUCUUAUUGACGCUGAGGCACGAAAGCGUGGGGAUCAAACAGGAUUAGAUACCCUUGU